CUAGAUAGCUCAGUUGGUUAGAGCGUUCGGUUCAUACCCGGAAGGUCCAGAGUUCGAAUCCCUGUCUAGC
rnacentral:tRNA from 1 species